rnacentral:lncRNA from 1 species
AUCUAUUACUGUUCUGUCCUGAGAAAAUUGAUUUAGGAAAUAAUCUAUACCAAAUGUGGUCCAAGAUUGAACGUCCAAGUUAAGCAACCCUUACAACACCAGAGCAUUUUAUAGAUGAACGUCCAAGAAUAUGCAGUAAUCUCAGGACAAACAAUCAACUUCACAAAAUUUUCUAUUUCGAACAAAACUGAAACUGUCAAAUGUUCUGGUGGAACUCAAAUUACUUCAUUAUAAAGAAGAAUAGAUGGGUAUUAUAGAGAAAAAUGUCAAAACAAAGACGAGAAGGCAGGCUUUGAUUGCAAGAUAUAGAAUGCUUCAAUGAUGCGUUGUUAUUAGCUAAACAGAGAAUCAUACUAACAUUGUUUCAUCAAAAGUAGUUUCGAGUACUACUUUGGAAGAAGUAACAAGUAACAAACCCUCUUUUUGAAUGACCUCACACCAAAAAUGGUCAUUACUAAGCUACAACAGAUAAUUGGAUUGAGAGCUCAUACCUAACUUGGAGAACACACUAAUUCCUCAUGAUCCAAUGAUGUACGAUUCUUCCACUGUCCCUUCGCAGAAACACACAGGGGUUGGACCACAUGAGACAUCAUCCCAAAAUCAUGAAAGUCAUUGUUAAAAUUCAUCUUACAUAACUAUUAAUAUUAACCAUCUGAUUUUCAAUCAAAUAUUGUGGUUACAAAGACAAAAUGCUAAUUCUUACAUAACUAUUAAUAUUAACCAUCUGAUUUUCAAUCAUAUAAAGACAAAAUGCUAAUUCAACACGACUAG